AUGAACGCUGGCGGCGUGCCUAAUACAUGCAAGUCGAGCGAACAGAUGAGGAGCUUGCUCCUCUGACGUUAGCGGCGGACGGGUGAGUAACACGUGGAUAACCUACCUAUAACACUGGGAUAACUUCGGGAAACCGGAGCUAAUACCGGAUAAUAUAUUGAACCGCAUGGUUCAAUAGUGAAAGACGGUUUUGCUGUCACUUAUAGAUGGAUCCGCGCCGCAUUAGCUAGUUGGUAAGGUAACGGCUUACCAAGGCAACGAUGCGUAGCCGACCUGAGAGGGUGAUCGGCCACACUGGAACUGAGACACGGUCCAGACUCCUACGGGAGGCAGCAGUAGGGAAUCUUCCGCAAUGGGCGAAAGCUUGACGGAGCAACGCCGCGUGAGUGAUGAAGGUCUUCGGAUCGUAAAACCCUGUUAUUAGGGAAGAACAAAUGUGUAAGUAACUAUGCACGUCUUGACGGUACCUAAUCAGAAAGCCACGGCUAACUACGUG
rnacentral:rRNA from 1 species